UUAAAAUAAAACAUUGCUAUAUCAGUUAGUUAUUUGAGAGACAGGAUGGAGCUCAGUCCACUUUCUGUGAUGUUCUUGCUAUUUACAUUUAUGCCAGAUGUCCAGACUAAAGGGAAUCCCAAAGCUGUGGUGUCCAUAACGCCUGGUACACAUGUGUUUAUUGGAUAGCGGGUUACUUUCAGAUGUGAUGCACAGAAACGAGGACAGAAUAAAAAACCAUACAGUUGGAAUAAAAAUAAAAAGACAAUUCCAAAAGAAGGAAAAAUAUUCCAUACAGAGGUAAAUAUGCAAGUGUUAAUAAUUCAGUCAGCUGAAUCCUCUGACAGUGGUGACUACACCUGCACAGGACACUGGGGAGACUGUGUGAGCUCAGAGGUCAGUGAUGCUGUCACACUGACUG